rfam:Schistosoma mansoni strain Puerto Rico chromosome 1, complete genome
AUCUAGCUGUCGAGUACCAAAUAGGACGAAACGCGCGUCCUGGAU